GACGAACGCUGGCGGCGUGCCUAAUACAUGCAAGUCGAACGCUGAAGGAGGAGCUUGCUUCUCCGGAUGAGUUGCGAACGGGUGAGUAACGCGUAGGUAACCUGCCUGGUAGCGGGGGAUAACUAUUGGAAACGAUAGCUAAUACCGCAUAAGAGUAGAUGUCGCAUGACAUUUGCUUAAAAGGUGCAACUGCACCACUACCAGAUGGACCUGCGUUGUAUUAGCUAGUUGGUGAGGUAACGGCUCACCAAGGCAACGAUACAUAGCCGACCUGAGAGGGUGAUCGGCCACACUGGGACUGAGACACGGCCCAGACUCCUACGGGAGGCAGCAGUAGGGAAUCUUCGGCAAUGGACGGAAGUCUGACCGAGCAACGCCGCGUGAGUGAAGAAGGUCUUCGGAUCGUAAAGCUCUGUUGUAAGAGAAGAACGAGUGUGAGAGUGGAAAGUUCACACUGUGACGGUAUCUUACCAGAAAGGGACGGCUAACUACGUG
rnacentral:rRNA from 1 species